CCUACGGGUGGCAGCAGUGAGGAAUAUUGGUCAAUGGUCGGAAGGCUGAACCAGCCAAGCCGCGUGAAGGACGAAGGUGCCAAGUAUCGUAAACUUCUUUUGUCAAGGGACAAAAUCAGGCUCGCGUGCCUGGCCGAGGGUACUUGAAGAAAAAGCAUCGGCUAACUCCGUGCCAGCAGCCGCGGUAAUACGGAGGAUGCGAGCGUUAUCCGGAUUUAUUGGGCGUAAAGCGCUCGUAGGCGGUAUGUCAAGUCAAGGGUUAAAGCCCCGCGCUCAACGUGGGAACUGCCUUUGAAACUGGCAGACUUGAGUGUGUGAGAGGAAAGUGGAAUUCCAGGUGUAGGAGUGAAAUCCGUAGAUAUCGGGAGGAACAUCAGUGGCGAAGGCGACUAUCUGGCACAUAACUGACGCUGAGGAGCGAAAGCGUGGGUAGCAAACAGGAUUAGAUACCCCUGUAGUC
rnacentral:rRNA from 1 species